ensembl:lncRNA
CUGUGAACCAGCCAGACACAGAAUAAUCGGCUCCAUUUCAAAGGGCCGUGAGCUGCAGCGUCUUCCUGCAGACGGAGAAGCUAUCUAGUGAUGCCUCCACAUCUCCACAGUAUUGCGCGUGUAGCUGCUGAAGGGCUGCAGCUGAUGAAAAGCGACGUUGUGAGCCAUCGCCAGCCUUCCAUGAGUCUCUUUACAUCCCAGUGAACCCAGAACGCUAACAGUCCCUGGCAGUCCUCUGAAUACCACGGAGGGGCAACGCAGAUCUCCCAGUCAGAGCCGCCGUGUGAUAGGGUUGUAAACACCGGGGCUUAAUUGGGAAACUGGCCGGUGAACAGCUUGAUUUUCAUCAAGCAAUUAUUGAUACUCAAAGCCCCAUGAGCUGCAGGCUGAGAGCCUGCAGCUCAUGGAUCACCGAGGCACCGAGAUUUAACUCUUCACAACCUCGGCAGAGUCGAAUGCGAGUUAAGACUGACAUGCUGGUUGUGCAUCACGUUCUACACCUAAUCUCUUUUUUCUGCUUGUCCAAAUAAACAAUUUGGACAAUUUUCAUGGAUUAUUUUGGAAUUGUCUCCUGCACUAACAUCAAGCAAUCCUGGUAUUUCUGAUGAGGCUCAAUCUGUUUUUAUUCCUCUUUGUGGAAGUUUGCGUUUGUACAAUUUAUAAUUUAGGGCAGAACCAAUUGUUUCCACAGUUACCAUUACCUGUCAUUUCAAGCCGUGUGUUUUUCUCUAACUAGUCCUCAUGCUGUUUUAAUCGGCUCACAGGUGACUCAUAUUAGUGGAUAAGUCACAUUAACAUAGUUGCUAAGUUAACACAUUUGCUAUCCCACUUGAUUGCUCACAUUGAUCCAAAACAUAGAAAAUGGAUAUAUAAUAAUAAUCAUAGUGUUAAAGUUAUAAGUUACCCGUGGACAAUCUUUCCAUUUACUUCUCGGUUACUGCUGGUUACUAGUACACUCUGAAUUGAGUGAUUUUCAUAAUAAACAAAUGUGUUUUUUUUCUGCACUUUUUGUGAGAAUUUUCUCCAAUUUGUUUUCCCUGCUCCCAAGAAAUCCCCUUAUGUUUUCUAGUCAUGGCCCAAUAUGAAAUGGCGUUUUUGCCAGUGUGCCAUCCCCCUUUAACAACCCCGGUCUGCAUCAGCUGAACGACACAAAAGAGCCCGAGAGCCAUUCAGACAUGAGAUGACACACAUACAGAACAAAAGUGUCUCUGAGGGCUGCAGUGACCUGAGGGACAAGCAGGCCGAGUGCCUGUUCUUUGUCAAAGCGCAUGCUACACGCUCAAGACUCUGGAUAGCAAUUUUGUGCAGUAGUCCCAGCACUGCAGUGGGAUUAUAGAUGGGAGAUCCGGUAAGAAAGUAAGAUCUCAUUUUGCUAAAAGUGUGCACACAGUUUGAAAUCAAUGUCAAUUGAUUUAUGCAAUUUGUAAUACACGAGUUUCAGGAACAUCCGUCAAAAAAAAAAGGCUUAUCUCAUCACCUUAACUCCAGUUACACAAACUGCAACUCUUAAAAUGUUUUAUGUGUAGUCGAGGCUGUUUUAUGCAUGUUAAAGGGUCACAUAAUUUAGGUUUCAAAAUGUCUGUCAGUGAAUGAAAAAGAAAAUGACUAUUUCCAUACAAACAGGGGAAAGAUUAGACAUGUUCCCCUUUUCAGUGCACAUGUAUUUUAGAAUGUGGAGUGCAGACCCUUUGUGAACUAACACAACCCAGUCAACUUCUGUUUUCCGCCUGUAUCAGAAAAGGCUUGAUUCAUU